rnacentral:rRNA from 1 species
GACGAACGCUGGCGGCGUGCCUAAUACAUGCAAGUAGAACGCACAGUUUAUACCGUAGCUUGCUACACCAUAGACUGUGAGUUGCGAACGGGUGAGUAACGCGUAGGUAACCUGCCUGGUAGCGGGGGAUAACUAUUGGAAACGAUAGCUAAUACCGCAUAAUAUUAAUUAUUGCAUGAUAAUUAAUUGAAAGGUGCAAUUGCACCACUACCAGAUGGACCUGCGUUGUAUUAGCUAGUAGGUGAGGUAACGGCUCACCUAGGCGACGAUACAUAGCCGACCUGAGAGGGUGAUCGGCCACACUGGGACUGGGACACGGCCCAGACUCCUACGGGAGGCAGCAGUAGGGAAUCUUCGGCAAUGGACGAAAGUCUGACCGAGCAACGCCGCGUGAGUGAAGAAGGUUUUCGGAUCGUAAAGCUCUGUUGUAAGAGAAGGACGGGUGUGAGAGUGGAAAGUUCACACUGUGACGGUAUCUUACCAGAAAGAGACGGCUAACUACGUG